ACAGACGGAUGUGUAGGGGAACUAAAACUACAGAUAGCGACCUGAUAUCUACCCCGCCAGCCUUCAUGAUUGCGCUGAGGUACCCCGCCACCCAGAUAAACCUCAUUUGGCCCCAAGCCCACUGCACACACACGUGCGGUGAUGUGACUGAUUUUGUGGCGUCAGCUGAUAGUCUGAGGUGGCAAGGUGGCAUCUGUCAACAGCAGUCGGGUGUCUCCUGCAACAGUGAAAGCAUUUGUAAACAAAGUCAAGUGCCACGUAGUGAGGAGAGACAGGUACCAGCAGGAGCAGUAGUGGUAACAACAGCAGGAUGGGGAGCUUCAGCAAGAUCCUGCCAUACUCCUGCUAUGAGCUCGGCCACUGCUGGAAACACUCGUGCUCCUCAGCCUCCUUUGAAAUCUGUAUCAUUGGGUUCAUUGAAAGCAUCAAAAUCUAUGGUGUGGUGUACUUGCUAACCGGUCUUGUGAAUGCUCGGAAAAUAAGUAUGAAGUAUGGAAAAAAAGCUCUUGAAGAACUACUUAACAUCAGUUUGUUUCCUGACAGUCAAUGCUUUUGGGUACAUUGGCUCCUACUGUGUUGUCAGAAGGUGGAAUUUGAGUCGGCCAAGCUUCAGAAAUGCAGGAAGGAUUAGCGGUGAUGACUGCAGGCUGCCAUCGACCCGCAGGUCAUCACAGGAAUCAAAUGCAGCAUCAGUAUGGCUCACCAAACACUUCCCCUCACACUGGUGGUGUUGACCUGCCUUGUGAACACCUGCCCUCCUGUGUUCCUGCCCUUAAUAGCCCUCCAGGUGACAUCAGAAUGUGGAUGAGGGGACAAGAGAGCCAGUGUUCCAAGUACCACCACCAUCACCACUGCCACCACCACCACCACCACCAUCAGGAGCACAGAUUCACUGAAGUCUCUACCAAGAUUUCUUUGAGUUUUUUGAUAAAUUUAACUUCCAGGAGAGAGAGAGAUGCUGAUUGUUAAAGGCAGUGUGUGAAGCCUGCCCACUGUCUUUGUAUAUACAGGUUAGGGUGUGUGUGUGUGUGUGUGUGUGUGUGUGUGUGUGUGUGUGUGUGUGUGUGUGUGUGUGUGUGUGUGUGUGUGAGUGUUUGUUUGUUUUGUAUCCUCCACACUGCUGGUCUUAAUCUAGCUUGCCAAACUAAAUGAAGUCAUCCACAGCCACAGCCUUAUUCUUCCUUUCAUUUGUAUCUACACAGUCCUAUGAGCAGCUCCUCCUCCUCCUCCUCCUCCUCCUCCUCCUCCUCCUCCUCCUCCUCCUCCUCCUCCUCUUAAUGUUUUCUCUUUCACUGCUGUUCAUGAAAGUGUUGAAGAAAUAUUAGUUAUAUCUGGCAGUGAUCAGACCUCAUGUACAGAUGUGGUCCCUUACUACAGACACAGCCUAAGGUAACCUAACCCAAUCAUUUCAGAAGGUGGAAUUUGAGUCUCUCUCUCUCUCUCUCUCUCUCUCUCUCUCUCUCUCUCUCUCUCUCUCUCUCUCUCUCUCUCUCUCUCUCUCUCUCUCUCUCUCUCUCUCUCUCUCUCUCUCUCUCUCUCUCUCUCUCUCUCUCUCUCUCUCUCUCUCUCUCUCUCUCUCUCUCUCUCUCUCUCUCUCUCUCUGUUUGGAAUUAUACUGUAUAUUAAGAAAUAUCAUUAAAGAGUGUGUGUGUGUGUGUGUGUGUGUAAAAAGUGUUUGCAUUAUUGUGCAUUUGAUAUUAUAGCCCCAGGUUCUUAAAGUUUUCUGGUUUCAUGAUUUAUAAAGAUUGCUAUUUUUAAUAAAGUUAUUGAAAUUGUUA